rnacentral:rRNA from 1 species
UACGUAGGGUGCGAGCGUUGUCCGGAAUUACUGGGCGUAAAGAGCUCGUAGGUGGUUUGUCGCGUUGUCCGUGAAAACUCACAACUCAAUUGUGGGCGUGCGGGCGAUACGGGCAGACCGGAGUACUGCAGGGGAGACUGGAAUUCCUGGUGUAGCGGUGGAAUGCGCAGAUAUCAGGAGGAACACCGGUGGCGAAGGCGGGUCUCUGGGCAGUAACUGACGCUGAGGAGCGAAAGCGUGGGGAGCGAACAGG